rnacentral:lncRNA from 1 species
UGUGUCCAAUGCAAUAUAGACGACAUAAUCCAGUGGAAAAGUAUUAUGAUUAAUAUAUAAUACUAGGAUGGAAACAACAACAUCACUUCUCGAUUUAGCGUGUGGUCCCGUCUGUUUGUUUCCUUCUGAUUCUGAUUUUGAGAGGCAAGAGAGAGAGAGAAAAAUAAAUCAGAACUUGGUAAAAGAAGAGAACGGCUAUGAGACAGCAGUGGAUAAUGGUACAAUGAUGCAGCUCAUCGUGCGGGAAAAUAUCAUUAGCGCUGGCACUUUGGGUGUGCAACUGAAAAGUAUUAAUAAACAAUCAAUUAAGCCACUACUAACCAGGUGUUAGCAGUAGUACUAGUAGUAAAGCAGUGGUACUUGCUUGAGAUGCAGAGCUUUGCUUCCCUGCCUUGACUGCCUUUCUCU